GACGAACGCUGGCGGCGUGCCUAAUACAUGCAAGUAGAACGCUGAAGAGAGGAGCUUGCUCUUCUUGGAUGAGUUGCGAACGGGUGAGUAACGCGUAGGUAACCUGCCUUGUAGCGGGGGAUAACUAUUGGAAACGAUAGCUAAUACCGCAUAACAAUGGAUGACACAUGUCAUUUAUUUGAAAGGGGCAAUUGCUCCACUACAAGAUGGACCUGCGUUGUAUUAGCUAGUAGGUGAGGUAACGGCUCACCUAGGCGACGAUACAUAGCCGACCUGAGAGGGUGAUCGGCCACACUGAGACUGAGACACGGCCCAGACUCCUACGGGAGGCAGCAGUAGGGAAUCUGCAGCAAGGAGGGCAACCCUGACCGAGCAACGCCGCGUGAGUGAAGAAGAUUUUCGGAUCGUAAAGCUCUGUUGUAAGUCAAGAACGAGUGUGAGAGUGGAAAGUUCACUCUGUGACGGUAGCUUACCAGAAAGGGACGGCUAACUACGUG
rnacentral:rRNA from 1 species